AACGCGAAGAACCUUACCUGGGCUCGAAAUGGAGUGGACCGGAGCAGAAACGUUCCUUCCCCGCAAGGGGCCGCUUUAUAGGUGCUGCAUGGCUGUCGUCAGCUCGUGUCGUGAGAUGUUGGGUUAAGUCCCGCAACGAGCGCAACCCUUGUUACCAGUUGCCAUCAUUCAGUUGGGCACUCUGGUGAGACCGCCUCGGAUAACGGGGAGGAAGGCGGGGAUGACGUCAAGUCCUCAUGGCCUUUAUGUCCAGGGCUACACACGUGCUACAAUGGCCGGUACAAACCGUCGCAAACCCGCGAGGGGGAGCUAAUCGGAAAAAGCCGGCCUCAGUUCGGAUUGCAGUCUGCAACUCGACUGCAUGAAGCUGGAAUCGCUAGUAAUCGCGGAUCAGAACGCCGCGGUGAAUACGUUCCCGGGCCUUGUA
rnacentral:rRNA from 1 species